rnacentral:tRNA from 1 species
AAGGCUUUAAGUUAAGUAAACUAAUAACCUUCAAAGCUAUCAAUAAAGAAGACAUCUUUAGGCCUUA